AGAAAUAAACAUCAUUUAAGCUUCUAACUUAAAUCUAUAGUGUUUAAUCAUUAUUAUUUCUA
rnacentral:tRNA from 1 species